rnacentral:lncRNA from 1 species
CUGCUAUAUACUACACGUCUUCUAUCAUCAGUAGUCCUUGGCCUUACACACAGAUGAAGUAUAGAAUAGACUUGGCGGUAUGAUACAAAGUAUAAUAAGAUGUUUACAAAAUUCUCACAAAUGUACGUACAUAUUUGCUAUGUUAUAUCGAUUUUGUUGAUUAGUCUGUUAACAACUUUUUGUGCGUAUUUAUUAUUUGUUCCUUUUAAAACUUCAUAUACCCGUUCAUGAGAGUGCAUAACCUCAAGUGUAAGAAAAAUUCGUGUCAGGUGGAUGUAUAAUAUAAUAUGUAGAUAUAUAAAAAGAAAAAGAAAAAAGCUUCUUUAAAGUUACAUUUUAUAUCCUAGUUUACACACCAUUAAAUGCAACUCUUAAUU